rnacentral:rRNA from 1 species
UACGAAGGGGGCGAGCGUUGUUCGGAUUUACUGGGCGUAAAGGGCGCGCAGGCGGUCUUGAAAGUCAGGCGUGAAAGCCCCGGGCUUAACCUGGGAAUUGCGCUUGAUACUCUGAGACUGGAGUACGGGAGAGGAGAGUGGAAUUCCCAGUGUAGAGGUGAAAUUCGUAGAUAUUGGGAAGAACACCAGUGGCGAAGGCGGCUCUCUGGACCGUAAAUGACGCUGAGGCGCGAAAGCGUGGGGAGCAAACAGG